rnacentral:rRNA from 1 species
GAAGCUGGAUUCGCUAGUAAUCGCGCAUCAGCCACGGCGCGGUGAAUACGUUCCCGGGCCUUGUACACACCGCCCGUCAAGCCAUGGAAGCCGGGGGGUGCCUGAAGUGCGCUGCCGCGAGGAGCGCCCUAGGGUAAAACCGGUGACUGGGGCUAAGUCGUAACAAGGUAAC